rnacentral:piRNA from 1 species
UUGUGGAAUAGAUUAAGGAGGGUUG